GACGAACGCUGGCGGCGUGCUUAACACAUGCAAGUCGAGCGGUAAGGCCCUUUCGGGGGUACACGAGCGGCGAACGGGUGAGUAACACGUGGGUGACCUGCCCUCAGCUCUGGGAUAAGCCCGGGAAACUGGGUCUAAUACCGGAUAUGACUUCAUGACGCAUGUUGUGGAGUGGAAAGCCUUGUGCGGCUGAGGAUGGGCCCGCGGCCUAUCAGCUUGUUGGUGGGGUGANGGCCUACCAAGGCGACGACGGGUAGCCGGCCUGA
rnacentral:rRNA from 1 species